CUGGUGACUGGUGGCUGGGAAGCUCAACAUCAUGGCACGCAGUUGCAGAGAUCAGACCGCGUUUAAUAAAAAAACGAGAAAUCUCAUCAAAGAGGGUUACAAAAUGGGAUUAUAAUAGUUUUCUUUUAGUGUAGGGGAAUUGGAGAGGACAGCUGCCAGCGGGAAGAGUAUGAGUUGUGGUUUCCCGCUGGUAAUAGACCGAGAGGGGAGUUAACAAGCUGACCGUGUGUGUGUGUGUGUGGGUGGGUGUGUGCCAGGGCUCGGACAGGACUCGAGGUUAAAUGACCGAAGAUCAAGUCCCCUUCAGGACACGCCCAGCCUUGCCUGACACCUCCCUGACGUGCAAGCCUGUAUGCCUUGGCAGAGCGGAAUUUGACAGCGUGAGGAUGGGUUGCUGCUGAACUGUCUCACAGGGAGACUGGAGGGUUCCCCCAUGCUAUCUUGCAAUAAGAUUGUCAACAGUUUUUUUUACCAUGGGUGUCUCCUAUCCGGGAACAGAGUUGAGACUGACAGAAGUAAUUUCACAGGAGACUUUUGGAACUGGCAAAGAAAUAAACAGAUUUCAAAAGUGUAAUCACAUUACAGAGGUAGAACACUGCAGUUACUAGAAAUCUGAAACAAUAAAGGCUUAACAUACUCUUCACGUCAAGGAGCAUCUAUGGAGAGAAACAGAAUUAGCGUUUCAGGUCAAUAACCUUUAAUUUGGAAAAUCCAUUCAUCUGGGCUGCAUUCAAACCUGCAUCCUGAUGGUCAAAAUGUGCCAUUCCACUGGAAUUUUGGUGCAGAAUCUACCAGUUUAUACUGUUUGAAUUGAUGUGGACUUAGUCAAUUAUUAAUGCAAAUGGAGCUCUGGGUUAGCUUUAGAGAGAGUGAAGCUAACUUUAUCAGUGCAUGCGUAGUAAACGUUUAGUCUCCUGACAAUUUACAAAUCGUAAUGACGAACUCCAGGCAAUGGUGGCUGAACAAUUUGAAAAGACAUUCCGUUUGAACACUAAUGGUAUAUUACAUGAUAAAAUGAAUGAGAAUGAACAGCCCAUUCCCAGUCCACUGAGGAGGGGGAGAAAAAGAUGCCAGAACAGUGCAAAGGACAUACUUUCCCAUUUGAUCUAUACCAAAGAUUCGAAACCAGGAGUAAAGUAUUGCUUGCUUUAAACAAAUGUAUGAAGAAAUUAAAGUACUGUAAGAUGGGUUUGCACAUUCUGCCUUCUGGACUGUCAAUCUUAAAUUGCUGAAGUGAUUUUGUGUUGUUGAUUUAUCAUUCAU